rnacentral:SRP_RNA from 1 species
GCUGGGCGUGGUGGCACGUGCCUGCAGUCCCAGCUACUCGGGAGGCUGAGGUGGAAGGAUCGCUUGAGCCCAGGAGUUCUGGGCUGUAGUGCGCUAUGCCGAUUGGGUGCCCGCACUAAGUUCAGCAUCAAUAUGGUGACCUCCUGGGAGCGGGGGACCACCAGGUUACCUAAGGAGGGGUGAACCGGCCCAGGUCAGAAACGGAACAUGUCAAAACUCCCAUGCUGAUCAGUCGUGGGAUCGCGCCUGUGAAUAGCCACUACACUCCAACCAGGGCAACAUAGUGAUACCCCGUCUCU